rnacentral:rRNA from 1 species
UACGGGGGGGGCAAGCGUUGUUCGGAAUUACUGGGCGUAAAGGGCUCGUAGGUGGCCAACUAAGUCAUGCGUGAAAUCCCUCAGCUUAACUGGGGAACUGCGUCUGAGACUGAUUGGCUCGAGGACAGGAGAGGAACGCGGAAUUCCAGGUGUAGCGGUGAAAUGCGUAGAUAUCUGGAGGAACACCGGUGGCGAAGGCGGCGUUCUGGACUGUUUCUGACACUGAAAAACGAAAGCCAGGGGAGCAAACGGG